UACGAAGGGGGCUAGCGUUGCUCGGAAUCACUGGGCGUAAAGCGCACGUAGGCGGCUUUUUAAGUCAGGGGUGAAAUCCUGGAGCUCAACUCCAGAACUGCCUUUGAUACUGAGAUCUUGAGUCGGGAGAGGUGAGUGGAACUGCGAGUGUAGAGGUGAAAUUCGUAGAUAUUCGCAAGAACACCAGUGGCGAAGGCGGCUCACUG
rnacentral:rRNA from 1 species